AGCUUUUCAACUUGAGAGUUUGAUCCUGGCUCAGAACGAACGCUGGCGGCAGGCCUAACA
rnacentral:rRNA from 1 species